CCAAAGAGGGGGACCUUCGGGCCUCUUGCCAUCAGAUGUGCCCAGAUGGGAUUAGCUUGUUGGUGAGGUAACGGCUCACCAAGGCGACGAUCCCUAGCUGGUCUGAGAGGAUGACCAGCCACACUGGAACUGAGACACGGUCCAGACUCCUACGGGAGGCAGCAGUGGGGAAUAUUGCACAAUGGGCGCAAGCCUGAUGCAGCCAUGCCGCGUGUAUGAAGAAGGCCUUCGGGUUGUAAAGUACUUUCAGCGGGGAGGAAGGUGUUGUGGUUAAUAACCGCAGCAAUUGACGUUACCCGCAGAAGAAGCACCGGCUAACUCCGUGCCAGCAGCCGCGGUAAUACGGAGGGUGCAAGCGUUAAUCGGAAUUACUGGGCGUAAAGCGCACGCAGGCGGUCUGUCAAGUCGGAUGUGAAAUCCCCGGGCUCAACCUGGGAACUGCAUUCGAAACUGGCAGGCUUGAGUCUUGUAGAGGGGGGNNNNNNNNNNNNNNNNNNNNGAAAUGCGUAGAGAUCUGGAGGAAUACCGGUGGCGAAGGCGGCCCCCUGGACAAAGACUGACGCUCAGGUGCGAAAGCGUGGGGAGCAAACAGGAUUAGAUACCCUGGUAGUCCACGCCGUAAACGAUGUCUACUUGGAGGUUGUGCCCUUGAGGCGUGGCUUCCGGAGCUAACGCGUUAAGUAGACCGCCUGGGGAGUACGGCCGCAAGGUUAAAACUCAAAUGAAUUGACGGGGGCCCGCACAAGCGGUGGAGCAUGUGGUUUAAUUCGAUGCAACGCGAAGAACCUUACCUGGUCUUGACAUCCACGGAAGUUUUCAGAGAUGAGAAUGUGCCUUCGGGAACCGUGAGACAGGUGCUGCAUGGCUGUCGUCAGCUCGUGUUGUGAAAUGUUGGGUUAAGUCCCGCAACGAGCGCAACCCUUAUCCUUUGUUGCCAGCGGUCCGGCCGGGAACUCAAAGGAGACUGCCAGUGAUAAACUGGAGGAAGGUGGGGAUGACGUCAAGUCAUCAUGGCCCUUACGACCAGGGCUACACACGUGCUACAAUGGCGCAUACAAAGAGAAGCGACCUCGCGAGAGCAAGCGGACCUCAUAAAGUGCGUCGUAGUCCGGAUUGGAGUCUGCAACUCGACUCCAUGAAGUCGGAAUCGCUAGUAAUCGUGGAUCAGAAUGCCACGGUGAAUACGUUCCCGGGCCUUGUACACACCGCCCGUCACACCAUGGGAGUGGGUUGCAAAAGAAGUAGGUAGCUUAACCUUCGGGAGGGCGCUUACCACUUUGUGAUUCAUGACUGGGGUGAAGUCGUAACAAGGUAACCGUAGGGGAACCUGCGGUUGGAUCACCUCCUUACCUUAAAGAAGCGUACUUUGCAGUGCUCACACAGAUUGUCUGAUGAAAA
rnacentral:rRNA from 1 species